rnacentral:piRNA from 1 species
CCGCCCUGACUGCGAUGAGUUCUGAACGAA